rnacentral:lncRNA from 1 species
CUAGACCUAAUCCCUCGACGAGAGUGGACCUACUCUCCUCACAUUCCUGGUGAGAAUAAUAACAGACCUCGUCUUUGCUGAUGGGAACUGAACAUAUGCCUUUGUUUUCUUUAUGAAGCUCACACUACUAAUAUCAAUAUCAUCAUGUUUUAGAGUACGGUUUCCGGGUUUGACACACCCAUUGGCACUGCACCAUCAGAAGAACUCAGGAGAAUAUGGAAUGAAAAGAAAAAAACAAUUAGAAGAACGUGAUGGUAAGUCUCUAAUAUUAUGUGAAGCUGUGCAUCGACGAACACUUGCAAACCUACCAACAACUAAUUAAGUGAUGCCUCUAAGGGAAUGUAAGUGAUAGUUAGCCUUGUAUUUGCAGUGGUAUAGUGUUGUACGAUGCUUUCAUUUUUACCAUGUAUGAGGAUUCAGUUGCAAUGCG